CCUACGGGAGGCAGCAGUAGGGAAUUUUGCGCAAUGGGCGAAAGCCUGACGCAGCAACACCGCGUGAAUGUUAAGCCCUUCGGGGUGUAAAGUUCUGUCAAUAGGGACGAAUUUUGACUGUACCUAUAAAGGAAGCACCGGCUAACUCCGUGCCAGCAGCCGCGGUAAUACGGGGGGUGCAAGCGUUGUCCGGAAUCCUUGGGCGUAAAGCGUUCGUAGGCGGCAAGGUAAGUCUGAUGUUAAAGCCCGGGGCUCAACUCCGGUUCGGCAUUGGAUACUAUCUAGCUAGAGUGUGGUAGAGGUAAAGGGAAUUCCAGGUGUAGCGGUGAAAUGCGUAGAUAUCAGGAGGAACAUCGGUGGCGAAGGCGCUUUACUGGUCCAUUAUUGACGCUGAGGAACGAAAGCCAGGGGAGCAAACGGGAUUAGAUACCCGGGUAGUC
rnacentral:rRNA from 1 species